rnacentral:rRNA from 1 species
GGCUCAGAUUGAACGCUGGCGGCAGGCCUAACACAUGCAAGUCGAGCGGUAACAGGGGAAGCUUGCUUCUCGCUGACGAGCGGCGGACGGGUGAGUAAUGUAUGGGGAUCUGCCCGAUAGAGGGGGAUAACUACUGGAAACGGUAGCUAAUACCGCAUAAUCUCUAAGGAGCAAAGCAGGGGAACUUCGGUCCUUGCGCUAUCGGAUGAACCCAUAUGGGAUUAGCUAGUUGGUGAGGUAAUGGCUCACCAAGGCGACGAUCCCUAGCUGGUCUGAGAGGAUGAUCAGCCACACUGGGACUGAGACACGGCCCAGACUCCUACGGGAGGCAGCAGUGGGGAAUAUUGCACAAUGGGCGCAAGCCUGAUGCAGCCAUGCCGCGUGUAUGAAGAAGGCCUUAGGGUUGUAAAGUACUUUCAGUUGGGAGGAAGGCGUUGAUGCUAAUAUCAUCAACGAUUGACGUUACCAACAGAAGAAGCACCGGCUAACUCCGUGCCAGC